rnacentral:rRNA from 1 species
GAUGAACGCUGGCGGCGUGCUUAACACAUGCAAGUCGAACGAAGCAUUUGCGACAGAUUUUUUCGGAAUGAAGUUGCUUAUGACUGAGUGGCGGACGGGUGAGUAACGCGUGGGUAACCUGCCUUGUACCGGGGGAUAGCAGCUGGAAACGGCUGGUAAUACCGCAUAAGCGCACAAUGUUGCAUGACAUGGUGUGAAAAACUCCGGUGGUAUAAGAUGGACCCGCGUCUGAUUAGCUAGUUGGUGAGAUAACAGCCCACCAAGGCGACGAUCAGUAGCCGACCUGAGAGGGUGACCGGCCACAUUGGGACUGAGACACGGCCCAGACUCCUACGGGAGGCAGCAGUGGGGAAUAUUGCACAAUGGAGGAAACUCUGAUGCAGCGACGCCGCGUGAGUGAAGAAGUAAUUCGUUAUGUAAAGCUCUAUCAGCAGGGAAGAUAGUGACGGUACCUGACUAAGAAGCUCCGGCUAAAUACGUG